UGAAAAAGCGCAAUAUUCCCAACAGCUUCUAUGCAAAACCUGGAAAAACGUUGUGCAACCAAUGAACGAUUAGUUCAUGAGUAGUUAUCGAUAAAUAACCUACUGUUUAUUAGAUUUACUGUAGUAACACUAACUGCAAAUCUGGUAUUUGCAGAAAUGUGGUAUAUUAAUAAUGCAUGUUCUAUAUAGUAAUGCAUGUAAAUGUAUUACAGGGGUAUCUGAAGCAUCUUUGUACUAUUAUUUCUUAUGAAGCUAACGUUAUGUUAGUUCUUGCAUUUGUGUUGUACUAAAUGUGUUUAUACUUGUGUUUUAGACAAAUGGAAUAAUUUGUGAAGCAAAGACUACAACAACCUGCUAUUUAAUGGAAACAUUUGAAGAACAAGAAGUGGAUGAAAGUUUUAUGCUGCUGGAUGACCGUGGUUCUCAACUGGUCCUAGAUUAUCCCCAGCAAUACACAUUUUUGAUGUCUUCCUUAUCUGACACCCUUUUACGGCCUUGGAGGAAUCAGGAUUAGAGAGACAAAAUGUCCAGUGCUAGGGCUACUACAGAACCAGGUUGUUUGGGAAACACUGGGGUACAGUUUAUUACUCUUGUUUUGUUUUUUUCUCAGUUGUCUUCCUUCAUUUUAAUACAUUAUGUUUUAAUUUAAACAGAAUCCAAGUUGUUUAAUGACCGACAACGAUUUUGUAUCAAAAGAAUGCAAGUCCUCACAGCCAAGCUAAUGUGUUCAUUAGACGUACUUCAGACUUCAGACAGUUUGCUGAGGUGUUCCUCAGCAAACUGCAUGGAUUUGAUCCUUUGGAACAAAAACUAUUGAAGAAAUGGAAUGCUGAGUUUAAUGAUGUUCAGAAUCGUGAAGGGUUGUUUUAUUUUGGGAAAAAAUGUAUUGACCAUGUCAUGCUUGUGAAAUUUGUCCACACACAUGUGGUAUAAAUAAAAUUUUUUUAAACUUGUCUUUCAAAGAUGGUCAUGGAGAAACUGCCUUCAAAACCCUUCGCCAUGUCUCACAGUUGGGAAAAUGGUGCUGAAAUGAAGCACAGCUUAACUGACAAUCACCCUGUUGGCACUAAUACAAUGCAUUACCUGAGCAGUGAGACAAGCCAGGAUCCACGUGACUUGAUGCCUUGAGGACAAAGAGAACUCCCAAGUUUUUUAUGUAUAUACAUAUUUUUUUUUGGAUCCACUUCAAAUGUUGACUAUUAAGAGGGGUUCCUUCAACACUGCUGUCUCCUUAAGAACUUUGAUCAUCAUCAUUAGGUCCAACAUAUUUGUGGUUUUAUUACUUAAGGUAUGUUUACAACACAUCAAUGCAUACAAUGUACAGUGUUGACCCACAAAAUAGAACCGGAGUCCUAUUCCAUUAUUCCUACCUGUGGCCGACCUCACUGUGGACCUCAAGCGCCUGCUGUACGCGUGAUAUGUUUAUUUAUUGAAGGAUUUAAUGUUAUGAAUUUAUGUGUACUCGUAGUUUUUCAUUUAGUGUUCAUUUUGUAUUUGUGUGUUCUGUAUAUGUGCAUAUUUUAUGUAUGUUUUGAGUUUACAUGGUUGCAAAGGUUUUAAAUAUAGGUUUUAAUUGUGUACUGUUUGCAAAUUUAUAGGUUUUGAAUUUAAUAUUUACUGUACACUUUUGUGUAUGCUUUAGUAUAAUUAGGCCUACUACUAAAUUAGUAGUGAUUACCAUAAGAUUAGUUAAAAAAUAGUGUAACAAUAUUUAAAUAGUGUUCAUUUUGAAUUUUUGUGUUUUGUAUACAUAUUUUAUUUAUGUUUUGAGUUUACUCUGUACAUGUUUGUGUAGGUUUUGAAUUGAUUUACACUUGUGUUUUGAUAAUACUACACUUAUAUUUACAUUAAAUGGCUCCACAAUAUUUCAUUUGUAAUUUAAAAUAUAUUUGUUAAAACAUAUUAUUUUAUACAAAUAAACAAUCUAGAAAACAAAGUGUAUUCUAUAUAUUAAAAUAAUGUCAUGAAUAAAAGUUAAUAGUCAUAGUUAGUAAAUAACCCAACAAGUAACCCAACUAUGGGUUAACAUAGCACCUUCCCAACUGUGGGUUAUUUUUAACCCAACUGUUGGGUUAUUGUUUUAACCCAACUGGCUUUUAACCCAACCAUUGGGUUAAAAAUAACCCACAGUUGGGAAGGUGCUAUGUUAACCCAUAGUUGGGUUACUUGUUGGGUUAUUUUUAACCCAACAUUUUUUAGUGAGUGUGUAUGUGAAGUUUUAGCUCAAAAUACCCCACAGAUCAUUUUUAUAGCAUGUUAAAUUUGACACUUUUUGAGGUAAAAACGCUGCAUUUUUGUGUGUGUACCUUUAAAUGCAAAUGAGCUGCUGGUCUCAAAAGGGGGCAGAGUUUCAGGAGCUAAUGUUAGCACUUAGCAGUGCCUCACAUUACCUCACACAGAAACUGAAACUGUCAGAAAUUUUGAAAAAAUGUCAGGUUUAUGUAAAUUCUAGGAUAGGUGAUGUCACCAAUCUGUGAAGAAGCUCGUUGUAGUCCCUACCAGCCGUUUGUUGUAGUUCUUAAACAGAUAAUUCUUUAAAAGAAAAUAUCUCUGUUUGCAUUGAACUUUCAGCGCUGAAACUUUGCAGAUACUGUUUAUGCUCAAGCAGCAACAUUACACACUAACUAAAGUUAAAAAAGCGAAAUGGCAAUGAACCACCCCUUUAAUACCAAGUGUAAAACAGUGCCUCAGAGACAAAUAAAUGGGAGAAAUGUAAGCCUGCUAAAUGUAAGCCCCGCCCUUCAGUAAAAAGAACCAAUCACUGAGCUGAUACAGUUUUUGAGCUACAAAAACAAUUUAUGAUACCUCUGAUCCAAAAAACAAAAAAACAAAACACUACCGUUCAAAAGUAUGGGAUUGGUAAGAUUUUUUAAAAUGUUUUUGGAAAGAAAGUCACUUAUGCUUACCAAUGCUAUGUAUAUUUUAAAAUGUUGUGGGGUGGUUUCCCAGACAGAGAUUAAGCCUAGUCCUAGAAUAAAAUGGCCCUUUACACAAGAUUAACAGAAAUCAGCUUUCUCUGUCAUGGUUUAAAACAAUCCUAGACUAAGUCUAGUUCAGAGUUUAAUAAACUGAUAAUAAAUAAUAAACUGAAGACUAGAGCUACUCCAGGACUAAAUUGAGCUUUAAAUUAAACCUACCAGGAGGCAGGUUUAACUUCA